UACAGAGGGUGCAAGCGUUGUCCGGAAUCACUGGGCGUAAAGGGCGCGUAGGCGGCCUGAUAAGCAGGGGGUGAAAUCCUGUGGCUCAACCACAGGGCUGCCUUCUGAACUGUCAGGCUGGAGCACGGUAGAGGCAGAUGGAAUUCCCGGUGUAGCGGUGGAAUGCGUAGAGAUCGGGAAGAACACCAGUGGCGAAGGCGGUCUGCUGGGCCGUUGCUGACGCUGAGGCGCGACAGCGUGGGGAGCAAACGGG
rnacentral:rRNA from 1 species